rnacentral:lncRNA from 1 species
AAAAAAAAAUCAGAAGCAGUAUCCAAGCCCCAUUGAAUUUUGAAAUGCACUAGUGAAGUUACCGGUGCAUUGCGACGGGCUAAUAUUAUAGAAGAUAAAAAAUUGACAAAAUAAAAAUUUUAAAAUUUUUUAACUUAGAUAUAUACAAAUGUGGCAAAAGUUACAACAACAAAUAAAUUAUACAUAAUAAUAAUAAAAGUUACAACAGCAAAUAGAUAUAUAUAUUUUUUUAACGAUUUGUUUAGAUAAAAAUAAAUCAUAUGAAUAUAUUAAUUAGAAAGUGGGCGGAUGGGAAGACGAAACAUUAGAUAGAGAUGAGAUGGGAAGCCGAAGCAUCAAAGAGUGUGGAGAGGGGGGUGAAGGAGGAAUUGCCAUGUGGCAAUUUUCAUGAGAAAUAAUGUACAGGAAUAGAAGGAAUAGAAGAUGUGCAUUACAUGUUUC